GGGCCUGUGGCCUAGCCUGGAUAGGGCGUCAGCCUUCUAAGCUGAAUGUCGUGGGUUCGAAUCCCUCCAGGCCCA
rnacentral:tRNA from 1 species